rnacentral:rRNA from 1 species
AUUGAACGCUGGCGGCAGGCCUAACACAUGCCAGUCGAGCGAGCGGCGGACGGGUGCGUAAUGUAUGGGGACUGCCCGAUAGAGGGGGAUAACUACUGGAAACGGUUGCUAAUACCGCAUACUGUCGGUUAUCCCAUAUGGGAUUAGCUAGUAGGUAAGGUAAUGGCUUACCUAGGAGACGAUCCCUAGCUUGUCUGAGAGGAUGAUCAGCCACACUGGGACUAAGACACGGCCCAGACUCCUACGGAGGCAGCAGUGGGGAAUAUUGCGCAAUGGGCGAAAGCCUGAUGCAGCCAUGCCGCGUGUAUGAAGAAGGCCCUAGGGUUGUAAAGUACUUUCAGUAGGGAGGCGUUACCGACAGAAGAAGAACCGGCUAACUCCGUGCCAGCAGCCGCGGUAAUUC